rnacentral:misc_RNA from 1 species
GUAAAUAUGCCUUUUAUAUAUUAUAUAAAGACAGCUUUUAUUUUUAAAAAUAGUGAUCACAACUGCUGACCUACAACCAAGCAUUGGCCACAGCGCGCAAAACACUAACAGGCCAGGAAAAGCCCUAACCCUUGAAGGAAGUCCUCACCAGAGACGCGAGGAAAAACUCCAGAGGAGAGCUUAAGAAAGAUAGAAAUUGGA